UACAGAGGGGGCAAGCGUUGUUCGGAAUUACUGGGCGUAAAGGGCGCGUAGGCGGCCUGCUAAGUCGAACGUGAAAUCCCUGGGCUUAACCCAGGAACUGCGUCCGAUACUGGCAGGCUUGAAUCCGGGAGAGGGAUGCGGAAUUCCAGGUGUAGCGGUGAAAUGCGUAGAUAUCUGGAGGAACACCGGUGGCGAAGGCGGCAUCCUGGACCGGCAUUGACGCUGAGGCGCGAAAGCCAGGGGAGCAAAGCGGG
rnacentral:rRNA from 1 species